GUUCCCGAUUGGUUCAGAACCCUAGCCUCCACUCCCUCGCGCCCCUCUUCUUCGCCCUUGCAGCCGCCGCCGCGCUCUUGCCCCCGCCGUGCCGCCGCCGCGCUCCUGUUCUUGCCCGCCGCGCGGCCGCCGCUGGCCCUGCUCCCCAUCCUCGGCCUCACCACCGGCGCAGGGCCAAAGGAGAAGGUAGAAGAAGACGCGCUCCACGGGGCCGGUGAAGAUCGAGGGCACAUCGAAGAAGGUGCUAGGCAGCGCGCCGCCGCCCUCCGCCGCGACGGCGAGCGUGUCGAGGACCCUGGUGGCCGUGGUCAUCAUCACGGACCUGCCGCUCGUGCCACCGCGUCCCCGUCGAGCUCGCGCGUCAUGUCGCCGGGAGCAGAGGAAGCCGGCGCUGCUCUUCCCAGAGGAGCGCUCUUUCGUGUUGUUGACUGGAGGAGACCAGUCGGAGCGAUGGGAUAGGCCAAGCGGAGCGUGGCGUCGCCGCCGGCUAGCGCGUCAACGGGAGGAGCCUUGCAGGUGGCCACACUAUAUAUUUCUCCUCAUUUAGCCUGCUCUCUCCUUUAAUUUAAUCCCUAGACUUUCUCUUCUUUGUGCAUGUUCAUUUGUGUACGUGCCUAGAAGAUGCCACCAACAGCAAGAUCUGGGAGAAAGAGGAGGAGACAAAGAGGGAGAUGGGGUCGGAAGAAGAGAUGGUGAAAGUAUCUGCUUGGGACUUCAUGGCUAGGCCUGUUAUUGCUAAGUUGGCAGCCCGUCACACUGUUGCACACUGCUACAUUUGUACUACCCCCAGCUGGUCCAAGUAGAGGAGAUAAGGCGCGUAUUUGGAUGUACAUGCCCACCACUCAUUGUAUCCAACCAUUAGCAUAUGUAUUUAGAUUUAGCCUGCAAAAGCUUGAGUAAAUUGUGAUCUUGGAAUUGUAUCUAUAAGUAAACAUUGUUCACUGAUUUAUCAUGUUUUGGAUGUUCCUCUUCAGUCUUCAGGAGAUGCUUGCACCUUGGUCAGGUGGAGAGGCUGCCGAGCAGCAACCAGGUGGUGGCUAUUUUGUCUACUGCAUCUGAGGCUAAGUCAAUGCUGACACCGGGUUCAGGUCAGCCAUGGAUCUCUUCGUCCAUAAAUAAGAAAAUGUUUGUCAUUAGCCCUUCUCAAACUGUAGCUGUACAGAUUUAAUGUAUUUCUACAACGGAAAGAACCAUGAACCUGUAGAUGUAUUUUUCCUUUAGUCGUCUUUUGGUCUGAAAGCAUGUUUUUAUACCCAUCGAUUGAUGAAACCAUACAUCUGGAGGUGUACUCUUUUCCAUGGAAAUGAAAUCCUUCCCUUUUUAGCUUCAGGAAUUAACUUUAUUGUAACUUCCCUUUCACGAAAGAGGUAUGCAUUUUUUGGCUUAAGAAGCAUGAGCUAUAUUUACAUCUCUUUGUCGCCUGCUAGAUGGUUUUGUCUAAACGAAAAGGUUACACACUACCAAAUAUUUUCCAGCUAUCUCUUGAGUGAUCUUGCUUGUCAGUAAUGUUUACAGUUUACACUACCUAAAUCCUAAGCUAAGGUUUAUCAGUAAUUAGAUAUACUUAGGUAAGUAGAGCUGUACAAGCCUAAUAAUAAAGGUUCAUCAAAUGGGGAACUUUUCAUGUACAUGAUCACAUUUUUUGUUGGCCUUCGUUUUUUAUUUUCCUCCCCUGAACUGGGACAACGUAGCCUCUGUUCCCUUGAUUGUGUGGCUUUGAUCAGUUGGUGUAGAUUCUAUUGUUUGCUAUCUCGAGCAAUAUCAUAAAAAUCCGAUAUUGUAGAUUUGUAGACUAAAAUAGUCGCUCAUCCUCACUAUUCGAUUUUGGGCGUCCCUCUUAAUGUUUCUCCAACUGGCUACGUAGUUGUGUUUUAGUUGAUGCUGUAGAAUUUCAUUUUCUUGAAUGUGGAAGGAUACUGAAAGGGAUACAUUUCAGUUCUCAUAUUAUUAGAAUAUAUACCUGCUCCCUGUCUUUUUGGAUAUGUACUUCUGUUAGCUAUGUGAGCUAUGGCUGUCCUGUAACAUGUACUUCUUGGGGGCAGUAGCACUACUCAUCUGCAUGUACAAUGUUUAUUUAAGAUACAAGACAGAAUGACUGCAGUCUUGGUUGAUACCUGAUCAAAAUCACCUAUUUAGCUUUACUGGAAAUGUUCAGUUUCUUACCAGUUAUCAUUUGUUGUCAAUAUAAAAAAAGUUUGUUGCUAAGAGAAAACUCUUCCAAUUGAUGUUUGGGGAAUGAUGUGCAUGGUAUUUAACUUUAUAGUGAGGUUCUAUUUUACUUGCAUUUGUCUUGCUAUGUUACACCAGAUGCUUAAAGUGCAUUUGUUUUGACAACUAAAGAGUGGUGAGGAUUCAUCACCCUACUUCACUCGAGUUGCUUCAGCAUCUGCCAUCAUCUUUUGUUGUUUAUACUUUUGUAAAAUCUAUAGAUUUCUCAGCGGAAAACUGAUAGAUUCAAAAGAUGCAUCAAAGAUUUCUACUUCACUCUUUAGUGUUAUUUAUAGUUUUGUGUUUAACAACUUGACUACCUAUCAUCUCUCUCCUACGACAAUUUAAUGUGAACUUAAUUACCACUAGAUAUGCGAAUGUAAUGUUUACAUCUUAUCAAUAUGUACAUGCACGAUUAGUUAUUCAGGUGAACACUACUUUACCUUGUCGGCCUUAGAUUGCAGUAUUAGGCUCCUCCACUCAUUGCUUUGCUUAGUUAAAUUUGUGGGAGAAAACAAAUAUAUAUGUAUGCAUUUAUUAUGUUUAGUUUCUUUGACCUAAUUUUAUAGAGGAAAAUCUUAUUUUUCUGAUAAUUUGUUUCUUGUGCAGAAGAAUCACAAUGCUUACAAAUAUUGUUCUGAAUAUAUGGAUUUUUCGGUAAGCUCAUCAUUCAUUCGGUUAAGCAUACAACCUUCUGUUUCAUCUACAGAACAGAAGAGCCUGCCUACUGUUUGUUACAGCCGAACAGGAGCAUGUUUCAUAUCAUGACCCAUGAUCAACAGCGGGUGCUGCCUCUGCUUCUUAAGGCUUGACUUCGCUCUAUGGAAGGUAAUAAACGUCCCAUUUCCCUAUUUCCAGCACGUAGAUUAUUCUGUGUCUGCUCUCUGAAGAGAUGAUUUAGAUGUUUAGUUCAGUACUGGGUUAGUUGGUUCUAAGUGAACUUAGGGUGCGAAAGAUGGGGAUCCAUGUAUGGUGGGAUAACCCUUGGGGCGUGGGCAGGCCGGGAUGUCGUGCGAUGAAUGUACACUAUCCGGCAAUUCUUUUGACAUUCUCUUUAUACUGCUGAGAUCUUGCUGGCACUGAAAAUCUAUAAUAUAGUUGCAGUGUCAUCCCAAUUAUCUUCUUGCCAUAUUAGUAGCUUAGAAAAUAAAUCCCUCCUCUGUUUUUUACCCUUUCCUCACUGUAAUUUGUAUAUACAUAAACAAUAUGCAAGUUGAGUAUAUAUAUGGCAUGACCAAGUUUUCGGGAGACAGCUGGUUUUACUAUUCGUGCUGAAUUCUGUCUUUGGUACCUCCAGUUUCAGUGCAAUACUUUUGGGUCUGUACUUCCUGGUUAAAGUUGGUUGAUGGACAACCAAUUAAAUCCAAUCAACUAUCUCCAGCACUAAAUACUGACGUACUGAGCCAACGACCUAUUGGUCCAGUGUGUGUUGCAUUUUCUACUUGCACUUGUAACCUAGUGUGAUGUUUUGGAAGGUAUCAUAUUGGUGAUAGUCUGCAAGCCAUUGUUCUUGUCAUGUAAUCUCAGAUUUUACGGGUGUCAUCAUGCAGGUCGAUUAGAACAAUGUGUAAUUAUUUAUGCCAGAUGUGUAUCCUCAAGGAUUUUGCUUGGUAACUUAGUGUGUAUCAAAGGAUUCUGAAAAAAAUAAGGUGAGUUGUUAUCGGACAUUGGACCCAUCCUCAUAGAACCAUCAAUAGAAUGAGUGAAGCGCCUCUCAUUUAGAGAAGAAAGAAAUGUGAAGAAUGGGGCUAUUCAUUGAUGCUCAAGUCCUCGAAGAAAUUACAUGAAGGCGGUGAGUGACCUGGUCUUGACUAAACAACCUUUUUUUCAGUGGUGCAUGAUUUUCUGAAGUUUCUUUGCUUGGAGAAGAGUAUGUCUAUGUUAGACCUUAUAGAAGCAUGCAUUUCCCCCUAUGCCCGCUGCGAGAUUCAUUAUGCACACACUAUUAACUGUAAGAUUUAAUUUAUAUUUAAAGAUGAGCUUAUAUAAGGUUCUACAUUCCAAUCGCCCAUGUGGGAGAGGCUGUAUGGUCAAGAAAGGAUGGGUUGGUUCAUUUGGUAAUAUAUUUCUCAACAAAAGCACAAAUUGCACAUAUUUCUCAACCAGCAAGUUUUUUUCUUUAUCGGACCAGUUUCUUUUCUUACUGGGAAGCAUGACUCCAUUGUGUCAAAUCGUAUCAUAUGGUUGGGUUGUUGGGUAAGCAAUUCUUUAUUGGGGUGUGAUACCAUUGGUGCAGCUAUUGAUUGUUCUGUGUUCCCUCAUGUAUUUUCAAUUGUCACUAAGAUUAAAUUUCUGAUAUGUGUUAUGUUUCUCUUUAGUUUGAAGUAGGAGUAUCCUUUCGAAUAAUAUUGUUACAACAAUGAAAAACAAUCUGCAGACUCACUUGCAAAGGUGGAAAUGGAGAGAAAGUUGUUGAUGCUCAAAUCACGCAAUGAAGUAUGGAGCAAGAAGAGACAAAUCUGGAAACAAUUAACUUCCCAUUUUUGUGUGGCCUAUUCUUAGGUUGUAUCGGUUGUGGCAUUGACACUCGGUUUUUUUCUAUUACUCCUGAUGUUGGCCAUUUGAUGAAUAAUUGAUGAAUGCUCAAUUGUUUGGAGUUGAAUUUAAGAAUAUACCAGCAAUAC
rnacentral:rRNA from 1 species